rnacentral:rRNA from 1 species
GACGAACGCCGGCGGCGUGCUUAACACAUGCAAGUCGAACGGUAAGGCCCUUCGGGGUACACGAGUGGCGAACGGGUGAGUAACACGUGGGUGAUCUGCCCUGCACUUCGGGAUAAGCCUGGGAAACUGGGUCUAAUACCGGAUAGGACCACAGCCUUCAUGGGCGGUGGUGGAAAGCUUUUGUGGUGUGGGAUGGGCCCGCGGCCUAUCAGCUUGUUGGUGGGGUGAUGGCCUACCAAGGCGACGACGGGUAGCCGGCCUGAGAGGGUGACCGGCCACACUGGGACUGAGAUACGGCCCAGACUCCUACGGGAGGCAGCAGUGGGGAAUAUUGCACAAUGGGCGCAAGCCUGAUGCAGCGACGCCGCGUGAGGGAUGACGGCCCUCGGGUUGUAAACCUCUUUCAGCACCGACGAAGCGCAAGUGACGGUAGGUGUAGAAGAAGGACCGGCCAACUACGUGCCAGCAGCCGCCGUAAUAC